UACGUAGGGUGCAAGCGUUGUCCGGAAUUAUUGGGCGUAAAGAGCUCGUAGGCGGUCUGUCGCGUCUGCUGUGAAAACCCGAGGCUCAACCUCGGGCCUGCAGUGGGUACGGGCAGACUAGAGUGCGGUAGGGGAGAUUGGAAUUCCUGGUGUAGCGGUGGAAUGCGCAGAUAUCAGGAGGAACACCGAUGGCGAAGGCAGAUCUCUGGGCCGUAACUGACGCUGAGGAGCGAAAGCGUGGUGAGCGAACAGG
rnacentral:rRNA from 1 species